AAAAGGAUAAAAACCAUGUUUAAUGGCAAAAAGGGGCGAAAUGGGUUAAAUAAUGAAAUGGUCAAAUGGUAAUAUUAACACCAUUUGACGAAUAACGACUAACAAGUGCAUGUCGAGUCUAAUGCUCACAGGGUAAAACGGCUUAUGGAAUUUACGUGGCUAUGAAUCAGCAAAUUAUUAAGGCAAGGUAUUAAAACGGGUCAAUACUUUGACCCGCGCCAGGUACAUUUUGGAUGCCGGAAGACGAUCAAGCUCGACGAAGGACCGAACACGAUAUAGAUACAUGCUUCCGCACUUUAACACAUUGCAAAUUUUAAACAACGAAUUCAACCACGUUAUGUAGAAUAACUUAUGAAUUGUAAAAGUUUUAAUAAAUUCGUAUUUUUAUAGUAUGUGUAGGCUUAACUACACAUCUAAUUGUUGG
rnacentral:lncRNA from 1 species